CGGAGAGCCCCCAGGCCACUCAGCAGAGUCUGGGAGUGCCCAGCGCUAUGGUGAAGUGAGUGGAUGCCCUUUUGUAGUGCCUGGAGGCUGUGAGGGCCUGGAUGGAGAACAAUCGACUUCAGCUAAGGAGUUCUGCAUCCAGGAGUUUAUGAUGGGGUUGCACUACCCCAUAUAGAUCUGGUGCGUAACCUGUGGGUCAUCCUGGACUGACAGUUCCUGCUCAAAAAUCUGGUGGCAGCUGUGGCCAAGAGACCUUUGCUCAGCUUCGUGUGGUGUGCUAAAUAUACCCUCCUUUCCUGGAUAGGGAGGGCCUCUGCUCGAUCACUCAUGUCCUGGUCAUCUCCCGCUUAGACUAUUGCAAUAUGCUCUACAUGCGGCUACCCCAUGUGGUACAAAAUAUGGCCAUGCAGCCAUUGUUAGGGAUCCAAAGAAGGGUACAUAAUAUAACACCUAUGCUCAGUGAGCUGCAUUGGAUGCCAGUUUGCUUCCAGGUCCAAUUCAAGGUAUUGGUUGUGACUCACAAAGCCCUAUAUGGCGUGGGCCUAGGCUAAUUAUGAAACUGCCUUCGUCUGGUCAGGCAGAUAUGUUGCAGACCCUGUCAGUUAAAGAACUUCCACUGGCACAGUCUAGGAAGAGGACCAUUCUCUGCUGUUGCUCCCAUCCUGUGGAAUAUUCUUACCCUGGCGGUAAGGCGGUAACCCAACUCUCUUGGUUUUCCAAAAAGGAGUGAAGACGUGGCUCUGUGGCCUUGCAGUGGGAGCCCUGGGGAGUACUCACCCGUGGGGCUGGUUAAUCCUUCCCUUAACCUUUCAACUAAUUUUAAUCUCUUGCCUCCUCUUAAUUUUUUUAAACUUUUAUAUACGCUGUUUUAUGCUUUGUUUUAUUGUACACUGUCCAAAGUCCCUCUUUGAAGGAGAUGGGCAGUUCAGAAAUGUAAUAAACAAAUAUGGUUUAUGAUCUUCUGAGAUACAACUACUCCUUUCUUACCAAAAAGCUUUGGUAGCUGUUUCUUCCUGGCUCUGUCCCAAACAUUUCCUGCUGGGAAAUAGGUAGGAAUAAUAUUUUAGAAAUUGUAGAGAAAUGCUGUUGAUGUCAAGAGCUGGAUAAUGAUAUAAAUGUUUGGGUUUAAAAAUGAUGAAAAGGAAGGGUAAAAAUGAAGCUGUUGAACAAUUGUAAGGCUGUAAAUUUAUAUGAUGUAUAUUGAGAGAUGUUAAACCAUGAUAAAGUCAAUAGAUGUGAAUUCAGAAAGUUUUAAAAGAAUGUGGAGUUUAAGAUGUGUUGCUGAAUGUAAUUAAGAGUGGCAUUUGAUGGAAAUAAAAUUUAUGUAGAC